GAUGAACGCUGGCGGCGUGCCUAAUACAUGCAAGUCGAGCGAAUGGAUUAAGAGCUUGCUCUUAUGAAGUUAGCGGCGGACGGGUGAGUAACACGUGGGUAACCUGCCCAUAAGACUGGGAUAACUCCGGGAAACCGGGGCUAAUACCGGAUAACAUUUUGAACCGCAUGGUUCGAAAUUGAAAGGCGGCUUCGGCUGUCACUUAUGGAUGGACUCUCGUCGCAUUAGCUAGUUGGUGAGGUAACGGCUCACCAAGGCAACGAUGCGUAGCCGACCUGAGAGGGUGAUCGGCCACACUGGGACUGAGACACGGCCCAGACUCCUACGGGAGGCAGCAGUAGGGAAUCUUCCGCAAUGGACGAAAGUCUGACGGAGCAACGCCGCGUGAGUGAUGAAGGCUUUCGGGUCGUAAAACUCUGUUGUUAGGGAAGAACAAAUGCUAGUUGAAUAAGCUGGCACCUUGACGGUACCUAACCAGAAAGCCACGGCUAACUACGUGCCAGCCGCCGCCGUAA
rnacentral:rRNA from 1 species